rnacentral:misc_RNA from 1 species
UAGGAAAGAAUCCGCCAAGUGUGCAGCGGAGGUUGAGGAGGCCGUGAGAGAGGCGUGUGGGAAUGGGAACGGGAAGCGGAAGGGGAAGGGGAAGGUGCCAAAGGAAGGAUUGGAAGCCAAGAGGUUGAAGAUUUGGAUGGGGAAGAAAAAAUUGGGUGAAAGUGACAGCGAAGAUAUGGAUGAGGAUAGUAGUGAUGAGGAAGAUGAGAAGUCUAUUGUUCUAAAUAAUGGAAAUCAUUCAGAUUUGAAUAAGGAUGCUGAAAGGAGUUCAGAUUCAGUUACUGGUGGGAAACUAGAUAGAGAAUGCUCUGGUGAUGCCUUAUGUGAGAGUGGUUCUGAUGCAGGAAGAGAUUCUACUGUGGAGCAAAAUUUGAAAUCUAGCCCUCAAGAAGAAAUUGUUCCUAGUGAAGCGGAUGGAUUGGCUGAAGCAGAGGUUCAUGAGGAACCAGUAGUACAGAGUGCUGGUGUAACUUGCUUGGAGACUGCUGAGAUUUCUGUAAUUGAUGCAGUUAAGGCUGAAAAGCAGGAUAACGUUGGACCUGAUUCUGAACCUCUACAUGUUUCAAGGCCAGCAAGUGGGGAUGGCAUUGAAAGCAGGCCAGUUACUGCUGAAGCUGUAUCUAACUUAAACUCUAAAUAUAAGGGAGAAGCAAUGGACACUGAUCUUGAGAAGCCACUAAAUUUUGAUGAUUUCAAUUCAGCAGCUGAGAUGGAGGUUCUCGGCAUGGAAAGGUUAAAGAAUGAACUACAGGCUCGUGGGCUUAAGUGUGGAGGUACCAUGCAAGAGCGUGCUGCCCGGCUUUUCCUUUUAAAAACUACUUCUUUGGAUAAGCUGCCAAAAAAGCUGCUUGCAAAGAAAUGAAUCCAUGUGGCAUGUGUAAUCUCACCAAUUGUCGAGGAAUCUUUUUCCUUCAAAUGUAUAGUUUUGAAACUCCCAUCUGUUUACUUGUGCUUGUAAUAUGUCGUGAACUUCAGUUCAAAAAAAUAACUUAUGAAUUAUGAUAUAAUAGUUUUUAUGCCAUGUAUGCCUGUAAUGUAUAUUUUAUGGCAUCAAUUCUGGAAUUUUCGUUCCCUUGAAUACGUCUAUGGAUGGUAUGUAUCUAUUUCCUGGUCUUUAG